ACUGUGUAUUGACGAGACAACGCUUUCGAACGCUUUCAUAAACUUCAAAAACUACGCGUCCCUUCCUCUUCUUCACAACCAAACCCAAACAAAAACCCUAAAUUUCUCUCUCCUCUCUCUCUCUCUCUCUCUCUCUCUCUCUGUUUCCGCGUUUUCUCUCACUUUCCGUGAUUCGAUUUUCGAUUCCGAUUGCCGCCACCGCAGAUCGCGUUCUUCCUUGCACAGUGCAAUUCGCGCGCGCACUCCAUGUAUGGACGACGACAAAGACAGACCACCUUCCGAUCCUUCCGCCGCCGCCGCUGAGUUCGCCGGCGACUCGAGUUGGACACUCGCCGCGGAUGACUCCGACGGAGCAUACUUUUUCUCCGGAGACAGGGAGCGAAGCAUACUCAGGGAGUUCGGGUGGAACCUCGAACCGGACCAGGCGAACCGGAUCGGCACCGACGACGGACUGUGGACACCGGUUCAGUCCUCUCUGAGCGGUUCGAUUGAACCGGCCGCUGCGGCGAAUAACCACUCGGUGUCUUCGAGCUCCAGCGAGGAUCUUCCGGAGAAAUCCACCGUCUCCGACGAGAAACCGCCUGAGAUUCCGUGUAAAGGUAAAAAGAAGGGGCAAAAGCGAAUACGGCAGCCACGGUUUGCAUUUAUGACCAAGAGUGAAGUUGAUCAUCUUGAGGAUGGCUACAGAUGGCGGAAGUAUGGCCAGAAGGCCGUUAAAAAUAGUCCUUUCCCUAGGAGCUACUACCGCUGCACAAACAGCAAAUGCACGGUGAAGAAAAGGGUUGAACGCUCUUCCGAGGAUCCAACGAUUGUGAUUACUACAUAUGAAGGGCAACACUGUCAUCAUACCGUUGGAUUUCCUCGAGCGGGAAUCAUUAGUCAUGAAGCUGCCUUUGCGGGCCAGUUGGCUCCUACAAUGUCACAAUUCUAUUAUCCAAUUCAAUCACCCAGAGAGAACAGUACCUUUAGUUCUAUUUCUCAGCCUUGCCAUGCUCAAGAUGAAGCUGGAGGAGGAUCCAGUGCUAUAAUGCCAACUGAUGCAUCGUCACAGCAGCGUCCCACGGAUGAAGGGUUGCUUGGAGAUAUGGUACCCCCGGGAAUGCGCAUCAGAUGAGAGCAUUAUUUGAUGCAUUUAGACAUCUUAGGUUAAAGUAUGCAGAAGACACCUUAAGGAUGAAAAAUUUACAACUCAUGUACUCAAAGAUAUUGCUCUUCAAAUGCCUGGUUCUAGAUCGAGAAACUUUGCUAGGUCUUCAGCUGUCUUUAAAAAGCCAAUUCGAUUAAAUUAUAUACUGACUCAACAAAAAAAAUUGUUGUCAGUCACUUUCAAAGAGAACAUGACAUGUCUCACGAUGGAAUUUCACCCUCAAAGUGAGGAUAUAUAGGUUUAUAUGGUCAUAUCUAUUAGUGUUUCUAUCUAGUAAAUUGUGGCUGAAAAAAAAAGGACAUUGUUAUUUAGCAACUCCACAAUUACAGCCAUCAAUUUUAUGUAGCUUAAUUAGUGAUUAUAGAGGUACUUGUACACCGUACGCGUACACCGUUACGGUUGGUGGUAGUUAUAGAAUAUAGAUAGGUGUGGUUGCUUCAAGUCAAGAAUAAAGAGAAAAGCGAAAGGGAAAGAAACACCUUUUAGUGGUCAGGUUGCACGAUUGUCGCAUUCGCAUCAGAUCAAGUUGCUGUCAGAUAUUACCCAUAACGAGUCGUAUACGAGUUAAAUGUGACUGGAAGUGCUACCUUCCUCAAUAUGAUUGUGAACUAUCCUCGUGUAGUGUUGUUGUCUUCGAUGACUAGACGGUGUGGAUGUGGAACCCAAUCCAUAAAUGCCUUUGCCUUGCAUUUAGUAUAUUGACUACAUACACAACAAAUACAUGAUCAAAGGAGCAAACGAUGUUAUGUCUGCAUUAUCAUAUUAAUCUAGUGUUUUAUUUUCAUGAUGUUGACUCACGAAUCCAUGUAAUAAUGCAUGAUUGGACUUGAUCCAUAUCUAAAUAGUUAAUAUAUAUCUCGUUAUCCAUGUCCUUCUAUUGCCCCUGCAUUGGAUGGGCCAAUAAUCCUUGUCAUGAUUUG